CACGCAAAUAACAGUGUGAGGGCUGGGGCCGUGCGGGGGGGGUGGGGCGGCGGAGGGGCCGCGCUGCAGAAGGCGUGACAGCGAUAGGGACUGGCUGUGCUGCCGACUCCGCACCGACCGGAGGAGGCGAUGAAGAAGGCUGGCUCCUUACUCAGCCUCAAGCUGCUGCUGUUGCUGCCCGGCUCUGCCUAGGAGCCCCUGAGGCCAAACCCCACUACCGAGUGGCAGACUGAUUUGGAGUAAAUCGGAUCAAAACUUUGCCUCCCGUCGGUGCUAUGCCCACUCUCGGAGACAGCUCCGUGUGACGUCCUGUGGGGCUGUGCUCUGGGAGCCGAGGGAGCUGGACGCCAAGACCGGAGGCAUUUCCCUCCUUGCUUGCCUGUGUUCUGGGGAAGUCAGAGGAGGGUGUGGACAGGUUGAAACACCUCCUGAAUACGUAACAUUUCUUUAUUGGGUUUCUCGAAAAGCCUUAUUCCAUGACGUCAGCCUGCAUACUGAGUCCACCUAAGAAAAUGAACCAACCUGCGGACUUCCUAUAGUGCCCAGAUUGUGUAUGCAUUGCCCCUCAGUGUGUUGAAACUUCUUUGCAGUUUGGCAAUGCAAGGACGCCAGCAUCCUCAUCCCGGGACAUAAUGAUACUCAGGAGGGGAGCUGUGUUCCCUUAGCCAGGUCACCCUGUGAUGAUUGAAACACGCUAAAUCCCUCCUGUGGGAAGAAUCAGCUCCAUUUCUAGUGUGGGCUAUGCUACUACAUUUAAGAAUGUGCUAAUGAUACUUUCAGAAAGCCUAUUUCUUAUUUCUCUUGCUGUGAGGUCAUUUUAUGACUGAAGUGAAUAUAAUUGAUCGUGGUGUUAUCUUACACACUAUGAAUGUCACUAAAAACACAGACGAUUUUGAGUCUAAACUAUACCAGAAGAUCUUUCAGAGGAUCUCCAAAUAGCCAGGGUUAGCCUCCUGUGGCAGAAGUUGCUCCCUUGUCAGUUGUUAUUGGCAUGCCUCCAGUCCCCACCAUGUGUCAUCUUCUAAUUCUGUGUUCACCCUAUUCCAGUAUUUCUUAAAUGGUUGUCUUAGGCCCACCUAGAUUCCUGAGUUUGCUCUCAGACCUACUGAAUCAUCAUCUCUGUAGGCUGGCCCUGGGCUUCUGCAUUUUUAGCAAAUAUGCCCAUGACAUGAAUAAGUAUUAAAAAGUCAAGUGUUUCAUUUGAAACCCCCUUUUCAUUCCUUUCUUUUGAAAAUUUAAGAACUGUUACUUAUUCAUUCCUUCCUUUUUUCUUUCUCACACAUAUCUCUUUCCUUUUUUCCACAUAUAUUUUAUAUAUAUGUCUCACAUUUUUUUCUCUCAUUUUUGUGAUCACUUACCUUUCUAUAUUUCUUGUGCACAGGAUUGUAUAAUACACUAGCAGGGUAAUCCCUAAAAAAAAAAAAAAAAGGGUGAAUUGGCAAUUUGCCUUUCAUAAAUACCAUAGGUAUACUUUAUAACUAUACCAUUUAAAAUGUAUACUAAGUCAAAUAGAUGUAUAAGCUUAAAAACAACACUGUAAUUGAUAUUAUGUAUAAAUCUCAGUAUGUGUGAAACUUACUAGUUUAUGAUUUCAAAGUAUAUAAAAAGAAUUUUUUACAUGGGGGAGUUAUGUUUCAAAAUGCAAAUUUCAAUGUACAAAUGAUUUGUUACUAUCAUUUUCUAAACAGUGGAGUGAGACUAAUGAUGUACUAAGAAUUGUUAUGGUUACCAAAAAAAAUAAAAAGUGCUAUAUGAGA